GCCACCAGCUACUAACCUGUAGCAUCUAACUGCAAACCUAGUGAAGCUAAGCAGGGUUGAGCCUUGUCAGUACCUGGAUGGGAGAUCUCUUGGGAAAGCAAUGGUUCCUGCUGGAA
ensembl:rRNA 5S_rRNA 5S ribosomal RNA